rnacentral:rRNA from 1 species
GAUGAACGCUGGCGGCGUGCUUAACACAUGCAGGUCGAACGGAAAGGCCCAAGCUUGCUUGGGUACUCGAGUGGCGAACGGGUGAGUAACACGUGGGUGAUCUGCCCUGCACUUCGGGAUAAGCCUGGGAAACUGGGUCUAAUACCGGAUAGGACCACUUCUUGGAUGUUGUGGUGGAAAGUUUUUUCGGUGUGGGAUGAGCUCGCGGCCUAUCAGCUUGUUGGUGGGGUAAUGGCCUACCAAGGCGUCGACGGGUAGCCGGCCUGAGAGGGUGUACGGCCACAUUGGGACUGAGAUACGGCCCAGACUCCUACGGGAGGCAGCAGUGGGGAAUAUUGCACAAUGGGCGCAAGCCUGAUGCAGCGACGCCGCGUGGGGGAUGACGGCCUUCGGGUUGUAAACUCCUUUCGCUAGGGACGAAGCGUUUUGUGACGGUACCUGGAGAAGAAGCACCGGCUAACUACGUG